UCUGGUUGAUCCUGCCAGUAGUCAUAUGCUUGUCUUAAAGAUUAAGCCAUGCAUGUCUAAGUAUAAACACUUGUACUUGUGAAACUGCGAAUGGCUCAUUAAAUCAGUUAUAAUUUAUUUGAUGGUCUCUUUACUACUUGGAUAACCGUGGUAAAUCUAGAGCUAAUACAUGCAUAAAAUCCUGACUAGUGCGCUUUAUAGUACUGGGAGGGAUGUAUUUAUUAGAUUCAAAAGCCAAUGCCAUCUUCUUCGGGGGGUGGAAAUUUUUUCAAUGGUGAUUCAUGAUAACUUUACGAAUCGCACGGCCUUUUGUGCUGGCGAUAGUUCAUUCAAAUAUCUGCCCUAUCAACUUUCGAUGGUAGUAUAGAGGACUACCAUGGUGGUAACGGGUAACGGAGAAUCAGGGUUUGAUUCCGGAGAAGGAGCCUGAGAAACGGCUACUACUUCCAAGGAAGGCAGCAGGCGCGCAAAUUACCCAAUCCCGACACGGGGAGGUAGUGACAAAAAAUAACAAUACCGGUCUCUAAUGAGUCUGGUAAUUGGAAUGAGUACAAUCUAAACCUUUUAACGAGUAUCAAUUGGAGGGCAAGUCUGGUGCCAGCAGCCGCGGUAAUUCCAGCUCCAAUAGCAUAUAUUAAAGUUGUUGCAGUUAAAAAGCUCGUAGUUGGAUUUCGAAGUUAACAUAUCGCGACCCGCCUUUUUAGGGUGUGUUUGUUGUGGUAUGUUCUUCUCCUUACUAGAUAUUCACUAUUGCACUUAAUUGGGUGAUAGUUUUGCUUCGAUUCGUCGGGGUGAGUGGUGGGCGGACCUAUUGGGUUAGGAUUGUGGAUGAGGCGCUUCUUCGGAGGAGUCUUGUUCUGCCUGAUUCAGUAACCGUCCAUUAGAAUUCUAGUUCUUUUACUUUGAGUAAAUUAGAGUGUUCAAGGCAAGCAAAAUUACUUUUUCUGCAAUGAAUACUAUUAGCAUGGGAUAAUGGAACAGGACACGUAUUCUAGUUUUUCGUUGGUUUCUAGAAUUUUUAUUAUUAGUGUAAUGAUUAAAAGGGACAGUUGGGGGCAUUCGUAUUUCAUUGUCAGAGGUGAAAUUCUUGGAUUUAUGAAAGACGAACUUCUGCGAAAGCAUUUGUCAAAGAUGUUUUCAUUAAUCAAGAACGAAAGUUAGGGGAUCGAAGACGAUCAGAUACCGUCGUAGUCUUAACCAUAAACUAUGCCGACCAGGGAUUGGAAGACGU
rnacentral:rRNA from 1 species